rnacentral:rRNA from 1 species
UACGAAGGGGCUAGCGUUGCUCGGAAUCACUGGGCGUAAAGGGUGCGUAGGCGGGUCUUUUAAGUCAGGGGUGAAAUCCUGGAGCUCAACUCCAGAACUGCCUUUGAUACUGAGGAUCUUGAGUUCGGGAGAGGUGAGUGGAACUGCGAGUGUAGAGGUGAAAUUCGUAGAUAUUCGCAAGAACACCAGUGGCGAAGGCGGCUCGACUGGCCC